rnacentral:rRNA from 1 species
CCUACGGGAGGCAGCAGUGGGGAAUAUUGCACAAUGGGCGGAAGCCUGAUGCAGCGACGCCGCGUGAGGGAUGAAGGCCUUCGGGUUGUAAACCUCUUUUCAGCAGGGACGAAGCGUGAGUGACGGUACCUGCAGAAGAAGCACCGGCUAACUACGUGCCAGCAGCCGCGGUAAUACGUAGGGUGCGAGCGUUGUCCGGAAUUACUGGGCGUAAAGAGUUCGUAGGCGGUUUGUCGCGUCGUUUGUGAAAACCCGGGGCUCAACUUCGGGCUUGCAGGCGAUACGGGCAGACUUGAGUGUUUCAGGGGAGACUGGAAUUCCUGGUGUAGCGGUGAAAUGCGCAGAUAUCAGGAGGGACACCGGUGGCGAAGGCGGGUCUCUGGGAAACAACUGACGCUGAGGAACGAAAGCGUGGGUAGCAAACAGGAUUAGAUACCCUGGUAGUCCACGCCGUAAACGGUGGCGCUAGGUGUGGGUUCCUUCCACGGAAUCUGUGCCGUAGCUAACGCAUUAAGCGCCCGCCUGGGGAUACGGCCGCAAGGCAAAACGUCAAAGGAUUGACGGCUGGNGAGUUGCGAGNGANAGNGGAGNG